UUUCUGUUUUCAGCUCUUUCAUUUCCCUCCUGCAUUACUUCAAUAAAGGGGAACUUCGCAAGAGUGAGUUGCCGAAGAGAAACUGCACGACUUCACUCUGAGCUCAGACCUUGACCCACAACGUCCCAGUCUGGUUCGAUAAUGUUCAUCAAUAGCACCCUUGAGCCUUGGGUUACUCAAAAUGCAGAGGACCAGUCAAGGCAAAUCAGCUCCUCCAUAGGUCUGGGUGUGGGGCUGACGCUGUUGGUUCUCACUGCGAUUUCCGCCGGUGCGAUCGUGUACAAGUUCAAGAGUAAACUCAGGAAUUUGGUGCAAUCUGGACAAAGAAGAGGAAGAAGCAACCAGAAGAAGACGGACUACCCAGAGACGACCCAAGCUGACUCCCACUACACUGAUCUGAUCAGAGAACAGCCAACGGCACACAACCCUAUCUAUGAAAACUACAAGAGGCCUGCAGCACGGCAGAGCAGGUCGCCUGGGGAACUUGAAGAGGAUUUGUAUUUGCAAUGUGAUUCACCGGAUAAUGCAAUAUACGGCAACGACCCCAAGUGCAACCUCGUCAUCUGUGACACGUCCCAAGAAGAGGACGUGUACAUUAUGCCAGAUUCAUGAGGAGUAAAAUGUCUCAAAUUUUUUAUAUUUCAAUUUAUUCUGAAUAUGAACCAUUUUUACAGGCUCAGAAGCUCAAAUUGUAUAUUGUUACAAGUACAAAAUAUACUGCUUCUUAAUACAGCUUACAUAUAGAUAUAUAUAUAUAUAUAAAAAACUGUGUACUCUGGAUAUUAAAUACAAGUUGACACCCACAGGCCACAUAUUUUAUACAUACUAUAUGUUUUAUUAAUGAGCAUCAUCUGUAAAGUUGGAAUCAUGUGGAGAAGCUGCUGAAGGCUACAUGUUCUGGUUACCAUAGACUAUGUGAUUUAAGGGAAAAACAUUUUAUCAUGAGUGUUAUGAGGCACUGCCAUUGUAUUUUAUUGUUUUUACACGUCUCCUACUACUUCUUGACACGAUUCCAAUUAUGGCCGUAUUGAACACAGUGUACAAGUGAACACACUUUGACGGUAAGCCAGGGUCAUCAAUUCACUGAUUAGAGCUGCUUGUUUUAGGGCUUCCUCUUAAUACGCCUGGGAAUUACUGAUGACCCAUGAGAAGUUUAUUCACACUUGGCUGAUAAAGUCAUGCAUCGGUUGUCCUUUUACUUUUCUAUCAGCCGGCCUGCGGCUGGAUCUUUACUCGAUUUUCAUUCUCCACGUAUACUUGACAAAAAUCUGAAAGGUUCAAAUACACAUUUUCAUAAUAAUUUUAUAUAUAUGAAUUUGCAAUAAAUAAAAUAUCAAUAACUGAAAUAUGUGACAUAUUUAUGCACAUGCCCAGUAGAUGGGUAUAGUAUUCAUUAAGUUUAAUAGAAUACUGAUAGGUCUAAAGCUGCCACUUAUAAAUCAUAUUUAUGUGAUGAAUGAACCUUUGUCUUUUGGAACAUUUUGAAUAUUUAACUGUCUGUCACAAUUAAAAGUUAACAACAGCCACAUCACUGACAGAGGUCACAGGGAUUUCAUGAGUUCAUUCUUUUUUAAAUGUGUUAAAAUACAAAUAAUAAUAAUAUGAGUAAAAGUUGUUUGUCAUGUGGGAGGUUUCAUUCCUCUGAUUCAGCCCAAAUUAUUUUCACUUAUUCAUAUUCAGCCCAUGUUCAUGAGGACGACUCAAAAAGAACAUAAUAUUAAGCAAACUCUACAACUGCAUUUGAAUUUGAGCUCAAUUCAUUAGCCAAUAGCCACAGUUUCUGGGGCAAAAAUAGAAUUUACUAAUAAAUAUCCAUUGGAUACCAGACCUGCAGACAAGGUGUACACUGCAAAAAAUAAAUCUGUUCAUCUGUGUCUUUUACACACAAACAUCAAGUAUUGCAACAAAAAAAUAAUUGCAAAGGUCAGCAGCACACUAAGUGUUUUGUGGUGUUUCUGGAGAAGACGUACAGAGAGGAUGUGAAAAUCUUUCUGACCAUGUUGCAGAACUGAACUGUUUUCAAACCAGUUCUGGGAAGAGGAGUUGCAGAAUAAUAAUAUGAGAGAUUUGUUCAUCUCUGGACAGACAGUGACUGGAGUUGGGCAGGGUCCACCAUGAUUUCUUCACUUUCAUUUUGAUUUCCUGUUAUUCUGACUUGAAUCUCAACAAUAGCUCCGCAGGUGCAGCUGCGUGAGGAUUAAAACCAGGAGAAAGCCAAAUAGCGGAGGCCAGGGAGUUCAUGCUGUCUAUUACGCACAGAAGGGUUUGAUAAAUCCUGUCCCUAAUUCUUUUAUUCUUGUAUACUUUGGGUGGUACUGAAACUGCAGACCUUUCAGAGUCUAAGAUUGAAGACCUUUCCAUCCACCCACCGUUGUGUAAUGACUGAGGAUGUCAUCCUUGAAACAAAGGAAACAACAGAACAAAAACAAAGAAAUGAAUGAGCAGUUACUGGGCACAGGUCUACAUUUACCAUAAGAAUAGUUUAAUUACGGUAAGCGGUUGUGUCUCCAGCUCCGAUUAAUCACCUUUUUAUUCAUCUGCCUAUUUAUUUAGUCGUCACUCGAUGUGCCCCACCCCUGAAUACACCGACUUUAUUAAUUGAGAAACAACAUAUGCUCACAUCGAAGUGACCUUUACACAUUCAAAGAUAACGACUAUAAAGGAAUCAUUAGGGGUGGUGGUGUCACGUCUUGGAAUAACUCAACUAUAAAUACUGCUGAGGAACUUGCUACUGGUUUCAGGUCACGUUCAUCACGGUGCUCAGUUUAUAACUGCUGUUACUGCACUCAGGCGUCUUUUCAGUCCUCUUCUGUGAGUGUCUCUAGCCGGAAACCAUUUCUUACUUGUCCUGGCGAUCACACUUAUCUUAAGAUAUCUCACCUUCUUAUUUGUUCUUUUUCAAGUAACUUAUCUCAACAGGCAAACAUUACAGACACAAGCUCUGAUAAUCUGCAAUGAAAAUUGAUUUCAUUGAUAUGUAAUCUGACGACUCUCAAGUUUACACGGCAGACAGCUUUUUCCCUACAUUCCCUCUCAAAUCAACCUCAUAACUAGAAUGGCACUCAGUAGAGCACAUACCUCCGCCAAGGCCCAACAAUCCCCUUAAAUUCAAACAAGCUGCACCACAUUUCACACAUUAAUAGAUAUCAGUCCCCUAAAAGGCCUGAUUUUCUUUUAUUUAGACCUAUCAUGCAAAGAAAGGUAAAAAAUUCCUAUACCUUUUGAUUCCGAUCCUCAGCAAAAUUUAAAGUUUCUUCCCCGACACAUACUUUAUCCUUCUACCAAGUUUUAUUAAUUAUGUUAGUUUUGUCCCUUCGCUUGCUGCAAUGUAAAAAGUUAUUCUUCUGCUUACUUACAUUAAAUCAGUGCUCUUUACUUAUUUCUCACUAUCCAGUUGAUUCAACUCAUGUAAUGUAAGUCAUUCACUUAUUUGACCUAAAAGAAGAAUGAAACCAAAUCUACUAAUGUAAACUGGACUUGUGUUCCUGGAGAUAAAGGUGUGCAGUAGAGCAGUACGGGAACCAUCCAACGUUUGUAUUGCAGCGUGUUGGGGGGAGAUGGGCCCAGCGCCCCACCAUGCUCUGAGACAAUGUUGGAGACAUGAGUGAAGUUGUGUUCCAAGACCUUAUAGAUUUGACUUGGCUUUUUGCCGGUGAGUUCUUUUCAUUAUGACAGUUGAGGCUGCUGUCGUAAAAGAUGCAUUUUGGCACCAUGAGUGAAGCUAUGUGUACGGUUAAUAACACCUCAGAAUAGGUAUGACUUUAACUUUGGGGGGAUAUCCACCAACUUCCUAUAGCAACUAGCAUAAUAGAGCAUAUCAAUGGAUUAAUUAUACACUGAUAACCCUCGUCUAUGUUCCAAUAAAGGAUCUUGUUGUUAUUGGCACUGUUGAAAGUUGUGCUUGAUCUUUUACAGUGAAGAGAUCUGGGUUUAAUUUAAAGGUCACGUUGAAGGUGAAAAAUGGUAUGAUUGUAUAAUUUAACUUGUCAUAUUGUUAUUAAAUAAAAUUGUGUCAAUUGCCUUGAAUCAGUGUCAAUAAAAAAUUAUAAUUAUGUGAACCCAU